CAAAAGGAUCGGAGACUUUAUUUUCAAUACCAUUUCUUCAAGCAUUAUUUACAACCUAACAAUCCAUUGGAGGUUCAUUUGGUGUUAUUGGCCUAGGUGUUGGGGUUUCACUUUUGUCAUGAGUUAAGCACUCAUUUAUUGUGAUAAGUUUGGAUUUUUUUGGGAAAGGUGCUUGCUUGGCCUGAGCAUAGUAAGUAAUUUUUGCUUAAAACUUUGUACUU